CCUCACAAAGUUUCUUUAAUAUUUCCUUUUCAUCUCCAUCUCCCCCACGUCCUCAUUCUCUCUACUUUCCACUUUGCCUCCCACACUUGCUUAUUCACUGAAGAAAAAACAAAAAAUUCACAGAAUCGUUAACCCAACAAUUUGCAAUCGUAUAAGCUUUAUCGUUCGUUCCUUCUAAGCCUUUCGCAAUUUGUAAUCGUUCGUUUCAAGCCUUCUCCCAAGUGUUGGACGUGGUGUUACUAGCUAACAAUCAUAUAAGCUUUAAAGUUUCUAUUAAUACUCUUUCUGUCUCCGGCGACGGUGGAGUUUAGGUCUUUUCUCUCGGAUGGAUGCAAAAUAAGAUAGCUCGAGUUGAACUGAUACAAUGAAUUGACAUUGGCCUUGAAGUGUUUUGGCUUGCUCUUUACUUUGUUGCUAUAGCCACUCUUGCUGCACUUGUUGGGCAACAUUUGGUGAUCGUCUCUCUUCUGGGGUAGCUAUCAUUCUGUCUACUAUAACCUCCCUUUUUGUUGAUAGUGAGUUGUAUUUAUUUUGUUCUGUAAGUAUUUCUCUAGUCCUCUUAAAAUAUGUUUUCUUUUACUAUUUCAAUAAUAUUAAUAAGACCCGAAAAUGUAUUUAUCAAUGGAUGUAGUUAAAACUCUAAUUCAGAAAAAUUGCAAAUUCUACACGGAGAUAAAAAUUUAUCUUUAAAAUCAGAUUUUCUUUAAUAUUUAGAAUAAUAUAAUUAUAUUGUUUUUAUUAUAUAUGUUGCUAUUUGCGUUGUGAAAGUUACAUGGUAUCUCAAAAUAUUUGCCACGUGAAAUUCACCUGGAAAGUUUUUGAAUAUUCAAAUAUUGCUAGGUGAAACUCACCCCGCAAGUCACUUAACAUACAACUGUACCCUGCUCUGAACUAACUGUGCACAUGGAAUGAAGUUGUCUGCAAGUCUUGGAAAGCGUGUUUGCGGGGUGCUUUUUAUCUGGAAACGUUGCGGGGUGAAAAUCACCUGGCAAAGUUGCGGGGUGCUAAUCCCCUUGCAAAAAGUUACGACUAACGUUUUUGCAAGGUGAGAGUGUCACCUCGCAAGUGUUACGUUGCAGGGUGAUAUUUGUCUUUGCGGGGUGGUUUGCACCUGGCAAACAUGAGUUUUUUUGUAGUGCUUUGAAUGCGAAUAAAUUUCUUUAUAAAUGAAAAUGGUGUUUCAAACGUACAUUUCUCAUAUACUCGUUUCUCAACACGCUUAGAUACUUUGAGUAAUUUGAGUACACUACAAUGUUGAACACACAGAAAACUUAAUACUAAGACCCCUAUUUAUACUAAUUCAACUAUAAUGGUCAUCUGUUCAGAAGAUGGCACGUUUAUGUCUGCAUGCACUUCGUCUCUUACAAGUCUCCACACGUCCUUUAUAAUGAACGGAUAAGGCCAAAAUACAGUUUCUGGCCAAUUUCGAAUGUUUCUGUGUCGGA